GCGAGCACACGAGACUUGCUCUCUGUUCUACGGAAUGGUUCGGAGUUGGGGACGCAACGAGGAUUCAAAAAAUAAACCAACAAACUUCAUUUAGGAAUUUCAUUUAGUUUAGAUCAUACUCCCUCCAUUUUCAAAUAUAAAAAAAAAUGAAUUCGUACAAUUUAACGAAAUUGGUUAAAUAUAAUAACUAUAUAUGAAAAAUAAAAAGUUGGGAUUAAAAUAUCCCUGUAAUUAAUAAAAUAAAUUUGUAUGGUAAAAAUAAACAUUGAUUUUAUGAGGAAUAAUUUAAAAAAUAUGUGAUAAAUGCUUCUUUUUUGUAGUUUUGCUUAUAAAUACAAAUAAAAAGAGAUAAGGUAUUUCUUUUAUAUUUAGAGUCAGAGGUAGUAUUAAUUUUUUUUAUAAAAUUUAAUUUUUUUAUUUUUUAAUUACAAUCUUGAACCUUGAAUUGUAAUUUAGAUCAAAUUUAUUAUACUAUAAAUUUAUUUAUUUAUUUAUCAUAAUUUAACAUUUGGACAAAUUGCCUAUAAAGACUUCACCUUCAAAUUAAUUGCUAAAAAAGCGUUGGAGAGUUUUGAAGAAUGAGGUCUUUUAGUGGUAAUGUCGUAGUGACAUUAAAAGAUCAAAAUGUCCCUAGUAGAGAUUUGAAAAUAAAAAAAAAUGUUUGACCAGUAGAAUUUUGAGGGUGGUGGAACUUGCAGAGGAUUGACAAAGAAGACGAAGAAUUGAUAAUACCAACAGCUUGUUAAUUUGUUAGCCACUUGAGGAGUACUCAAGCAAUACCGAGCAACACCGGUGGUGGCAUUUGAGUUGCUGCAUCUUUAGAUAUGAGGGAGACCUUUUGCAUAUGCAAGGAUACUUGUACAUGUUGUUGAAGAUGACUACAUAAAGGGAUAAGAGUUGGAGACAGUUACAGCCCAAUAGAAUGAAGGAAAUGUCACACUUGCAAGUAAGCUGUUUUCCAACUCCAAUUAACUUAUGCAAUACUUGCCUUAUCAAUUAUUUGUUUGAACUUCACCCCAAAAAAUUUAAAAAAAAAAAAAGUUGUUGAAAGAAUGUUUAGUUAAAUAUGAGGGGCUGUUUGAAGAAAAUUUGUUUUUAACUUGUAAGCUAAUCAAAAUCACUCAUCAAAAUAAGCUG